GAUGAACGCUGGCGGCGUGCCUAAUACAUGCAAGUCGAGCGAACAGACGAGGAGCUUGCACCUCUGACGUCAGCGGCGGACGGGUGAGUAACACGUGGAUAACCUACCUAUAAGACUGGGAUAACUUCGGGAAACCGGAGCUAACACCGGAUAAUAUAUUGAACCGCAUGGUUCAAUAGUGAAAGACGGUUUUGCUGUCACUUAUAGAUGGAUCCGCGCCGCAUUAGCUAGUUGGUAAGGUAACGGCUUACCAAGGCGACGCUGCGUAGCCGACCUGAGAGGGUCAUCGACCCCCCUAGACCGGCGCCACCGCCCCCACUCCUACGAGAGGCAGCCGUCGCGACUCUUCCGCCAUGGGCGACAGCCUGACGGAGCAACGCCGCGUGAGUGAUGGCGGUCUUCGGCUCGUAAGACUCUGUUAUUAGGAGAGAACAAAUGUGUAAGUAACUAUGCACGUCUUGACGGUACCUAAUCAGAAAGCCACGGCUAACUACGGG
rnacentral:rRNA from 1 species